rnacentral:tRNA from 1 species
GCCGUGGCUCAGUGAUAGAGCAUCUGCUUGGCACUCCAAAGGUCCUGGGUUCAAACCCCAUCAUCUCCA